GCUAGGACACGGAGACGCCCCUGGAAGAGGUGGCGGUAGUAUUUGGAGGAGGAAGGGAUCAGGUGAGAGAGAAAGAUUAUUUUGAGGAUGGGGGAUAGGUGUUAAUUUUUAGGGGUGGUGGUCCACGAAGAUCCCUAUGCACAUACGUUCCAUAGGUACAAUAUAGAAAAAGCUAUUCUUACAUUAAAAACAAUAGUACUAAAUUAUGUUGGCAUAUAUAAUCAUUAUUUUUAUGUUUUCAAUAUUACAUGCUAAGCAGUUAAACAGAAACAAUAGCACUGUAUUCUUAUCAUUAUUAUUAACAAUAAUAUUCACUAUGCAAUUAUGCAAACAUAAACUGAGUAAUUUAUUCCACAUUGCAGCACAGAAUCAUUCAGUUGAAUCGUAGAAGAUUGUUCCCUUUCCUUAACUCAAGCAGAAGGGAAAUGAAACACAGUUCUAAUUCACCUUUAAGCACACUGAAAAGAAAAAGAGAGAGAAGAGAUGGGGGAACCAAGCUGCAAAGUAUUUAAAAAUCUCAGAUGGGUCCAUUCACAUAUCUGCAAACUUCUGUCUAAACAAACUAACAUACAAGCAGUCUGUGUAAUACUAGUGCAGUGAUAAAUUUUGCAUUUAUUGCUCCACCCACUGUUGACUCUAGCCAUGCCCACUGCUGUCAAGUGGCCCCUGGAAGAUUGCCCAAGAUGGGAAUGUGGCCCUUGGUGUGAAAAAUGUCCCCCACAAAGUUUUACUCAGAGUACACCAAUUGAAAUUAAUGAACCUAAUUUAGUCAUGGCCACGGAUUUCAAUGGGUGUACUCCUGAGUAGCACUAGUGUUGAAUACAUCACAUAACGCACAAUCAAUACCCAUUCCCCCAUCAGCUGGUUAGCAAAUAGAAUUCUACUGCCCAGCUGGCUUUGCAGCUAAAGCUCCCUCUUUGGUUUUGCACCGCUCAAAGACAUCUCAACAUGAAACCCUGAUUCUUAUUAUAUCCAGGAAGGGGUGGAGAGAAGCCACAACAGCGUUUUGAUGUCACCGAAGAAUCAAAGGCUGCUUUGAUUCGAUAGAUACCUUUGAUUUUUGUAGGGUGGUGUGGUGUGAGGAAGGGAAAAGGUGAAGAGUCUUAAAGCCAGCGGAGAGAAUAGGGAAUCCCCUUCCUUCCUGUAGCUUGGUCCAACAAAACACAACUUCUCCUGAAGACAAAGGGGUUUAACAUGCAGCUCUUUACACUGUUAUUACUGAAGUUCGCUGUUUUCAGCACUGAUUUUCAUUUUUUGGGGGGGAAAGAGAGAUGUUCUGAAAGGGCCAGUUGGCAGGUGACAACAUUUCUAUAUGGAUGCCCCUUUAAGAAUAAUUAUAAUAGUUAUAAUAAAGUGACAAAGAAAUAACAAUUCUUCAUCACCCAUAAAAGGUGGCUCUGUAAAGUAUAAUGGAAGCCCCUUAUUUUUAGAAUCUGAUAACCAUGGCUACCAAACAGCUCCCCCAAAAUGUCAACCCUCUUUUGAAGACAAGGGGAGACCAAGGUAUGGAAUGACCAAAAAGUUUGAAAGGUCUGGACUGCCACCUUCUGAUAGGCUGGCAAUUUGGAACCACCAGCUGGUUCAAUAGGAGGUAAAGUUGCCACCCCUCUUGGUUUCAACCUCCAUCCUCAGGGUCUCCAGGAAGAAACAAGGGAGCAGCCUGCGUUUUAGUUGGCUCAAGUAUUUGGAGACUAGUUCUGUCCCUGUGUUCAUCAGGCUGCACCCCUGAACCGCAAAGUAAAGCCAUGUUCUCCCUCCUGACACACCAUCUUGCCAUACGUACACUACUAGGAUGUGUUCCUACCACACAGGCUUCACCUGCUCACUUCUGAGCCUCAGGAGACAUGACAACUAAUUGGCCAUUGAGCCAAUGGUAGGAUUCUGUGAGCACCUCAGCAACAUUGCGUAGACCAUGGGCUGGCAAACUAAGACCCGCGGGCUGGAUCAGGCCCAAUUGCCUUCUAAAUCCGGCCUGUGGAUGGUCCAGGAAUCACUGUGUGGACUGCCAGCACGUGGAUCGCCAGUGCGCAUGCGUUCUUCUCCUCUCCCUCCCUCUCCCUCACAGGGCGGCAUCGGCGUCUCCUCCUCCCUCCCUCCUCCUGGUUUGUCCCUACCCUGCCUAGAGGAGGAAGGGGGCUGGGCUUUGUUGGUGCCAGCCCCUUUCCGGAGCCCUUUCACGCGCCACUUAUCGUCCCUCUGCCGCCACCACCAGCUCCUGCCGCUCGCAAGACACAGGAUCCGCGGUUGGCUGAGCGCCCCUAUCAAGCAGCCGCCAUUAAAAGCAGUCCCUUCCCAGAGCCCUUUCGCGCACCGCUCAUCAUCCCUCCCUAUGUGCAGUGUGCAUAGGAAUUUGUUCACCCCCCAAAAAAAUAUAGUCUGCCCCCACAAGGUUUGAGGGACAGUGGACUGGCCCCCUGCUGAAGAAGUUUGAGGACCCCUGGCCCAGACUAAGUUGCUAGGGCAGAGUGAGUAGCAACUGUAUAAGACCAAUUGAAACAUAAUUGGUGCCUUGUGUCACCUGAGUCUUGGUGGGCCAGAACCACACUACUGCCUUCUGGCCAUCUCUGGUGGCUGCGCUGUAAAUACCAGAGCACCACAAUUCAUGCUGGGAGUAAUCAGGAGUGGGAAGCCUUUUUUUCCAGCAUGAGGGCCACAUUCUCUUCUGGGCAACCUUCUAAGGGCCGCAUGUCAGUGAUGGGCGAGACUAGAGGUAAAGGUGGUUGGGGCAAUAAAUGUAAAUAUGACCAUUAUAUAGUAGGCUAUUAUUUAUUUAUUCGAUUUAUGUACAGCACUUUAUCCAAAGAUCCCAGGGUGAUGUACAACAUUAAGAAGACAAUUUUUCAGCCUUUUGGCUAAUAUCAAGUCCAGUGAAGAAGAUAAUUUGCACAGCAUAAUGAUAAAAUAAUGGUAAUAACUGUCCCCCUGCCCCCCAUUUAGCAAGCCAUAGAUUGUUUAAUGGUUGAAUGGUUGGGUAAAGAGGAAUGUUUUCGCCUGCUGCCUAAAUCCAUGUAAUGAUCCUCCCAGGAUCCUCUGGGGAGGGCAUUCCACAGAUGGGGAGCCACCACCAAAAAGGCCUGUUGUCACCCUCUGAACUUCUCAUGGAGAGCGGGAGACAUAGAGAAGAACCUUGGAUGAUAAGCACAGGGUCCGGGUCAGUUUGUAUAGGGAGAGGCCUGAGGUCCUGAGCCAUGUAAGACUUAAAAGGUCAGCACCAGCAGUUUGAAUUGGGCCCGGGAACUAAUUGGCAGCCAGUGCAGUUGGGCUGGUAUCAGCGUUAUAUGCUCAAACUCUCUUGUUCCGGUGAGCAACCUGGCUGUCAAAUUUUGCACCAGCUGAAGUUUCUGAACUGUUUCCAGAGGCAGCCCCACAUAUAAUACAUUGCAGUAAUCCAUUGACUAGCUUCUAUGCACACUCUCAGACUCCUCUUUACCCUGCACCCAGCAACCAAGAGGCAGUAUCAGAGUUGAAGGACAUGUUGCAGGCAGGCAAAAACAACUGAGGCGGGACUUAGGGCCGGUGAGGGAUGUGGUCAGGGGAAUCUCCAGUUAUGAGGGCAGAAAAGCUUUGGUGCGAGUGGGGGAAACACUUGCAAGCACCUUUGCAAACACCAGCCAGAACCAUGGAGCACGGGAGCUGGUUUGUUUCUUGUUUAGUAAUCAGCUUGAAAAUUGUUUGCUUGUUUUUUGUUACAUCUCUGUAAAUGAAAUGACUUGAGACUCACUUUUCCUGAGAGAGAAAGAGAGAAAUAAAUAAUUAAAAAUAAAAAUAUAAAUUGGAGGGCCCCAGCAUAUCCAUUCUGUUAAGGCUGCUCAACUUUCAUGCCUACUUGGUAAUCCAGCCAGACAUUUGGAGAAAGCCGUUAAAAUCCUGGAAGAACACACACAGUGACAUUUUUACAAAUAUUUUAAUAGACUAGGUUAUUGGUCUUGUGCACUACUGAGUGAAAUUUUAAUUAUCUGUGUAAUGAGGCUAGAACAGAUUUAAGUGCUUCCCUGCCUGUCUUUUCGAAAACGGUAGUCAUUUGUUCCCACAUUAACAAGCAGCGAAGGACUUCACUUCUGCUCCAAUCAUGGAGUCAUUUCAAUAGGAUUCAGAUUAUGGCUCUUCCUUCCCAGAGGUGCCCCCCACCCUGCAAAGUAGGAGAGGGCAAAUCUGUUCGUUUUGGUGUCUCACUUUGCCAGUCUAAAUAUGAGUCUUCCCCAUUUCUACAUCAAUUUGCAAGUUACUUUUUUUUUAAAAGUCCUCAUGAAAAUUCAUCAGCAUUUUAGUGUGAUUUUUUCCUAAUAUACAUGUUAGUAUGUAAUUUCCCCUAAUGUGUACAUUCACGCGAAGUGAUUUUUCCUAAUGGGAUGCAUUUUCAUAUGUUGCUUUUAUUAAUAUAAGCAUUUUUAUGAACACUUUACCCCAGUGUGUACAUUUUUGUACCCAUUACUUGGCUGGAGAGAAGCGUGAAUUUUGAAGGAUGGCUGUGUUUCAGUUUGCGUAUUGUUUUGGAAAGUGUGAAUUAGGUUGUUUCACCUUAAACUGCACACUGAGUCAAAUUUCUCAUUCAGCACUACCCAAAAACAAACAUGAUCUCCCUCCACUGUCAGCAGUAGUACAGGCCAUUACCAUUCUGUGCACGUUCAAAGCACCCACGACUGUGCAUGUGUGCAUUGUCAUGAACCCAGAAGUGGAAUAAUAAUAGUAAUAAUAAUAAUAAUAAUAAUAAUAAUAAUAAAUUUAUACCCCGCCCAUCAGGCUUCCCCAGCCACUCUGGGCGGCUUCUAAAAAAAUAUUAAAAUACUGUAAUACAUCAUAGUUACAUAGCUAUUGAAUUACUACACUAUGUAGUAGUGAUUUCAUUAAAACCCACAGAUGCUUUAAAGAUCAUUAGGGUCUUGACUGCCUUUCAUAUCCAGGUGAAAAAGAUGGUGCCUAAUACUUAAAUACACAGAAUACUGUUAUGUACUGAAGUUCUCACCCUGGGCCAGCAGGGGGAUACUGUAGAUAGUUAUGCAAAUGAAGGAUCGAAAAGUGACGUUCAGUGAUUGGAUAGUUUUAGAAAAUGGCAACAGUUACAUUGUUCUGGAGCUCUAUAUAAGCAGGCUGACUGAGCUCCUCAGCUUAGUUCUGUUCCAGCUUACAAAAUAAAGAGCUGCUUUGGAGAAAUCGCUGUGUCGUCUGCUAUGUCAACCCACAACUUAACAAAUACAAUGCAGUAGUCUUUGUCCACCUAAACAUGUACACUAAGUCAUACAUCCAACAUUGGUCCCACUGGGCAGAAUGAAGUAGGGGAAGUUGGCAUUUAGAGGGGUAUAUCUCACUUAAAUUACAGGCAGAGUAAUUUCUUGGUGGAAAAACUUAGAAGUUCAUUUUUUAUUUCAACAAAUCAAAGAAAAAGGCAUAAAAAGGGGGCGUAACUGUGCAGAGCAAGCUUAUACACGCUCCACCAUCGUGGGGUUGUAAUGACCUGGAAUGCAACCCCCCUGCAAAUCAGGGGUUGCUUGUAUACUUCUGAAUAUUAGUCACUGGGAAUGGCAGGUGGGGAGAAUGCUCUUGCUCUCAGGACCUGCUUGUGAGCUUCCCAUAGACAUCUGGUUGACAUUAUGAAACAGGACUAGAUGGGCCUUUGGUAUGAUCCAGCAGAGCCCUUCCUAUGUUCUCGUUUCCUUAUGAGGUGGACCACUCUAGGAAGUAGUCUUCUAAAACUUGGUGGAAUUAAAAUGUGAAUUUCUGGCAAAUGACCAUUUGAACUUCUUUGUACGGAAGGUACGAAAGAAUGAUGGCAUCGGGAAGGAAGAACAAUUACUGCGCUUUCACAGUAACUCUUGAGGGAUCUGAUGAUGAAGGCAAGGAGAAAAGAACAGAUACUGAGAGCAUGCAGGAGGCUUUCGAGAAGUUCAGAAGACGGCGGCAGGUAAGGGUGAACAGUGUUGCGGCUUGCACAAAGGUAUUGAGAUCAGUUGACUGAACGUUGUUGGCUUUCCGCUAGGCAUCAGAAAGCAACAAAUGCUCACCCGUUAAUGUUUGAUAUUAGCAGAAUAGGUCAAAACAGUGUAACCCUCCUAUCUGGCUACAGUGAUCUGUGCCUCAUUCCUUUCUUGAUUAUUGUAAUGCGCUAUAUGUGGGUUGCCUUUAAAGACCAUUCAGAAACUUCAGUCGCUUCUGAAUGCUGCAGCCACACUUCUUACAGAGGUGGGAUUAUAGGGCUCAUAUAUCUCUUCUCCCCCAUCACCACCUUUGUAGCAGCUGCAGUGAUGGCUUGGUUAUUUCUGAUCGCAAUUCAAAGUGCUGGUUUCGAAAGCCCUAAGUGAAGGCAGUGAUGUGGGUUUUCUGGAAAACAAUCAUAUGCAAAUUAGAGUAAAAGAUUGUCUCAUGCAUUUUAUGUCCAACUGAUCACUGCGCUCUGCAGGAGAGGGCCUCCUGCAGAUACCAUCUUGUCAAGACUUUCAUUCCAUACAAUGUAGGGAUUAGGUCUGCAGCAUGCUGGCAAUUGCCCUAUAGAAUGCUCUCAUGUUAUAUAUUAGAGAGAUACCGGCCCUUUUGUUGUUUCAGAAGCUCUAUUAGAAGACCUUCCUCUUGUGACAAAUCUUUUGGGGGGAGAUCUUUAUCCCAAUCUUCAUCUGCUGUGCAAUUGUUUUUAUAUAUAAAAUUCGUUCUUUAAUGUUUUAAUUGCAUUGUCUUAUCAUUUAUGUGUUUUCUACCCUGGGAUCCUUUGGGAGGAACGGUGUGUUAAGAUUUUAUGCAUAAAUGAAUAACAUCAUUCUAGUUACAGGUAGGUAGCCGUGUUGGUCUGCCAUAGUCAAAACAAAAUUUAAAAAUUCCUUCCAGUAACACCUUAGAGACCAACUAAGUUUGUUAUUGGUAUGAGCUUUCGUGUGCAUGCACACGCCUUCGGAUACACUGAAAGAGAAGUCACCAGACCCUUAUAUAUAGUGAGAGGGUGGGGAGGGGUAUUAUUCAGAAGGGUGGUGGGAAUGGGUGAUUGGCUGAUAGGUGUGGUAAACCUGUUGACGACUGUUGACGCCUGCAAUUGGUCUUACAGGAAAAAGCAAGGAGUGAGAUGGCUAUAUCAUGUAUACAGUAAUGAGAUAAGAAUCCAAUGUCUCUAUUUUUAUUAAAAUGCUUUUCAAGUGUUAUAGACAGCACGGCAGUUGAUACAUAAAAUGGUGGAGUUCUUUAUCUAUGGGCUGGUUUGCUGGAUCAGAUGUUACAUUUUACUUAGAUCUAUCCUGCUAUGUAUAGCAGGAAGCCCUAUCCAAUUCAGGUAGGUGCUGGAGGUGUAAAACUGUAAAUACCUCUCUGAGACACAGGAUAUGAACAUGUCCCGUGAUACUUCUUUUUCAUCAGAAGUUGUCAUCCAUAUCAAUUUUGUAUUGGCAAGAUCCUUGAAAUUUUCAGAUGUUUGUGUAGUUUUAAAUCGUAUUUCUCACAUGGAGAUUAAUGGUGGGACAACAAGAACGGAUGCUGUGGGCCGUACUGGUCACUAAGAGACUUAUUAUUUGAGCCUGAAAGGAUAAAUAUCUGCUAUCUCUUUUGCAGUGGUUUGAUGACAUUAACACUCUUGUUACAAUUGAGCAUGUUUUAUAUAAACACCAACUCUUGGGUACAUAAUUGGACAUUUAGAUGGUAUAUAUUGAUCUAUAUGUGUAAACUAAGAUGGAUGUGUUGAUGUUUAAAUGUAUUGUCAAUGUAAGCUGAGGGUUAUUCCCCCCCCCCCCGAUUUUUAAAAAUAAAACAUGUGCAAUAAAAAUCAAUGAUAAUAUUAGUUUUAAAAAUGCAUAGCAGGAAGCAAGAGAGUGCCCUCCUUCCCUGCUCACCUGGUGUGCCCACCCUGCCUCCAACACUGCUGACUGCUCAUAUGUGGGUGUCAGCAUUGGAGCAGGACCUCAGGAACAGCCCAGGGUGUGGAUGCCUGCAUUCUGCCUUCUAACCAGCCCAACACCACUCAUGGGGAAAUAAUU